rnacentral:lncRNA from 1 species
AAAUAAAAUAGAAUCGAUGGAUGUAUCUUGCUCAUCAAAAUUUCCGCACUAUCAAAAUUGUACUGAUGAUUAAAUUAUAUUGCAGUCACUGGGACCAAAAGGGCGGAGCUUUCGGUCGAUGACAAGAUCUGUGGGCGUCAAACCUGCAGCGGAGCAUACGACCAUAGAGUUGUCGGGAAGAGACCGACCGGGCUUGAUUUCAGAGGUCUUUGCAAUUCUUGCUGACCUCAAGUGUAAUGUACUUGCUGCCGAAGUAUGAAUGUAAUGUGCUAACUAAUGAUAAAGAGUCCCUCCAAAAACUCUAGGUAAUGGUACAGCUUAAGAGCUACUGCAAUUUUAACCAACGCACCGCAACAAUUCAGACCCUUUUUUCUCCUGCCUCAGAAUCCAGACCCAGAUUACAUCUAACGCUAUCAGAUUACAAGAGAAAUUUCUUUAGAAACUGUUACAUAAGACAGAACAGAGCAUUUUUCAGUCAGUUUUUGUGUCAAAUUUUUGAAAAAAAGAAAUAUGGAUUACUGGUCAUCAUCUGUUAGCGUUGAUGAUGAAUUUGAGAAGCUUGUUCUUAGAAUGAACCCACCAAGGUAAUUUGGUUCUUUGUUUCUUGUUUAUGCUAUAUGUGUGAAUAAAUUUUAUUUUCCGUAACUGGUCAAUUGUGUUUCUCUUUUGAGACUGUAACUUUUAUGACUGAAAAUGGUAAAUUUUGAAGAAUCUGACAAAAGGUAUGGUUUUUGAAUUUUACUUCUGAUGUGGGUUAUUGUAGGGUAACUGUUGAUAAUGCAUCAAACAAUAAAGCAACUUUGAUCAAGGUAAUAGAAUUUUGAAUUUGAUUAAAUUAAGAAAAAUGUUAUAUUUGGGGAAAAUUUUGGUAUGAUUAUAUGUUUUUUGUCGGAUUUUUCAGGUAGAUAGUGCAAAUAAGAGAGGAAGUUUGUUGGAGGUGGUUCAGGUUCUUACUGAUCUGAACCUGAUAAUAAGGAGGGCUUACAUUUCUUCGGAUGGGGAAUGGUUUAUGGAUGGUAAUCACUUUUUUUCCUUAAAAUUUACUUAUAAUUGAUUUUGAGUCUAAUUCUUUGAUGGUUGAUUUUUUUGAUUGUCAACUGCAGUUUUCCAUGUUACUGAUAAACAAGGAAAUAAGGUCUCCGAAGAUAACAUUGCCGAGCGCAUUCAGCAGGUACAUACCACAAAAUGUUAAUAGAUUAUGCGGUUCGUGCUGAUCACAAGAUUGUUAAGAAAUUUUUUGAAGGAGCUAAUCUCCUAAUUUACUAUUUAAGAAUGGCUUGCAUUGAUUUCUAGGUGGAAAGUUAUAUAAUUCAUAAUUCCGUCUAAUAUCAAGUGUAUUGCCGGAUAGCAAUUUUGGUUGUAACCUGCCACCGAUAUCCGGAAAUGAUGAGGUUUAAUGUCUUAGUUCAUUAAUUUUCUUGAUUUGUUAAUUUAUUGAAGUGGUUAGGAUUUAUUACAAGCACAUAAGCUACUGCACUCAAAAGGAAACUACCGAAUCUGUCAGUAUCAGCAGCAGAUUAUAUGGUAGACAUGUUUGAAAUCCGUGUGAACAGUAUUAGUCGAGGUAUGAUUUAUUUUGCACUUGGAGAGACGAGUAGGAUCAUUAAAUCAUCUUUAAUAAAUGAACAGCUAAAACAAAAGUCCUCUGCUGAAUCAAAUCAUCGGUAGGAUAAUAGAUAAUAGAAAGUUUAUGUUGCAUUGGACGUGAAUAGACUAAAAUAAAAUAGAAUCGAUGGAUGUAUCUUGCUCAUCAAAAUUUCCGCACUAUCAAAAUUGUACUGAUGAUUAAAUUAUAUUGCAGUCACUGGGACCAAAAGGGCGGAGCUUUCGGUCGAUGACAAGAUCUGUGGGCGUCAAACCUGCAGCGGAGCAUACGACCAUAGAGUUGUCGGGAAGAGACCGACCGGGCUUGAUUUCAGAGGUCUUUGCAGUUCUUGCUGACCUCAAGUGUAAUGUACUUGCUGCCGAAGUAUGGACUCAUAACUCUAGAAUGGCUUCGGUUGUUUAUAUAACUGAUGAAGAGAAUGGAUUGGCAAUCAAUGAUCCUGAUCGGCUUGCUAAGGUCAAACAACUUCUCCUUUACGUUCUGAAAGGAGACAGAGAUAGGCGAAGCGCCAACACAGAAGUUUCUGUCAGUU